rnacentral:pre_miRNA from 1 species
CCCAGGAGGUAGAGGUUGCAGUGAGCCAAGAUUGCACCACUGCAUUCCAGUCUGGGUGACGGAGUGAGACUCUGUCUCAAGAAAAAAUUAUUUAUUUAUUUAUUUAUUUAUUUAUUUAUUUAUUUAUUUUUGAGAUGGAGUUUCACUCUUGUUGCCCUGGCUGGAAUGCAAUGGCGCGAUCUUGGCUCACUGCAACCUCUGCCUCCUGGG